GCGGAAGUGCCAGAGUGGUCAAAUGGGCUGGAUUAAGGCUCCAGUGGCUUAGUGCCUACGCAGGUUCGAACCCUGUCUUCCGCA
rnacentral:tRNA from 1 species